rnacentral:miRNA from 1 species
GGGGGCGGUGGGGGGCGGGG